GCAGUCGAGCGGACCGACGGGAGCUUGCUCCCUUAGGUCAGCGGCGGACGGGUGAGUAACACGUGGGUAACCUGCCUGUAAGACUGGGAUAACUCCGGGAAACCGGGGCUAAUACCGGAUGCUUGAUUGAACCGCAUGGUUCAAUUAUAAAAGGUGGCUUUUAGCUACCACUUACAGAUGGACCCGCGGCGCAUUAGCUAGUUGGUGAGGUAACGGCUCACCAAGGCAACGAUGCGUAGCCGACCUGAGAGGGUGAUCGGCCACACUGGGACUGAGACACGGCCCAGACUCCUACGGGAGGCAGCAGUAGGGAAUCUUCCGCAAUGGACGAAAGUCUGACGGAGCAACGCCGCGUGAGUGAUGAAGGUUUUCGGAUCGUAAAACUCUGUUGUUAGGGAAGAACAAGUACCGUUCGAAUAGGGCGGUACCUUGACGGUACCUAACC
rnacentral:rRNA from 1 species